rnacentral:rRNA from 2 species
UAAUCUCGGGAAACUGAGCAUAAUUCUUGAUAGAUCAUAAUGCCUGGAAUGGUUUAUGGUUAAAAUGAUUCGUCGCCAUAGGAUGGGACUGCGGCCUAUCAGCUUGUUGGUGAGGUAAUGGCCCACCAAGGCGAUUACAGGUACGGGCUCUGAGAGGAGAAGCCCGGAGAUGGGUACUGAGACAAGGACCCAGGCCCUAUGGGGCGCAGCAGGCGAGAAAACUUUGCAAUGUGCGAAAGCACGACAAGGUUAGUCCGAGUGAUUUCUGCUAAAGAGAUCUUUUGCUAGUUAUAAAACCACUAGUGAAUAAGGGGUGGGCAAGUUCUGGUGUCAGCCGCCGCGGUAAAACCAGCACCUCAAGUGGUCAGGAUGAUUAUUGGGCCUAAAGCAUCCGUAGCCGGCUCUGUAAGUUUUCGGUUAAAUCUAUACGCUCAACGUAUGGGCUGCCGAAAAUACUGUAGAGAUAGGGAGUGGGAGAGGUAGACGGUACUCAGUAGGAAGGGGUAAAAUCCUUUGAUCUAUUGAUGACCACCUGUGGCGAAGGCGGUCUACCAGAACACGUUCGACGGUGAGGGAUGAAAGCUGGGGGAGCAAACCGGAUUAGAUACCCGGGUAGUCCCAGCUGUAAACGAUGCAGACUCGAUGAUGCAUUGGCAUAUAGCCAGUGCAGUGUCGCAGGGAAGCCGUUAAGUCUGCCGCCUGGGAAGUACGUACGCAAGUAUGAAACUUAAAGGAAUUGGCGGGGGAGCACCACAAGGGGUGAAGCCUGCGGUUCAAUUGGAGUCAACGCCGGA